CCUACGGGAGGCAGCAGUAGGGAAUCUUUCACAAUGGGCGAAAGCCUGAUGGAGCAACGCCGCGUGCAGGAUGAAGGCCUUCGGGUUGUAAACUGCUUUUAUAAGCGAGAAAUAUGAUGGUAACUUAUGAAUAAGGAUCGGCUAACUCCGUGCCAGCAGCCGCGGUCAUACGUAGGAUCCGAGCAUUAUCCGGAGUGACUGGGUGUAAAGAGUUGCGUAGGUGGCAUAAUAAGUAGCUAGUGAAAUCUGGUGGCUCAACCAUUCAGACUAUUAGCUAAACUGUUAAGCUCGAGACCGUUAGGGGUAACUGGAAUUUCUAGUGUAGGAGUGAAAUCCGUAGAUAUUAGAAGGAACACCAAUAGCGUAGGCAGGUUGCUGGGACGGUUCUGACACUAAGGCACGAAAGCGUAGGGAGCAAACGGGAUUAGAUACCCGAGUAGUC
rnacentral:rRNA from 1 species